GACAGAGGUGCCGAGCGUUAGGCGGAAUCACUGGGCUUAAAGCGUGUGUAGGCGGAUUGGUAAGUACCUUGUGAAAUCCCCCGGCUCAACCGGGGAACCGCGGGGCAAACUGCAAGUCUUGAGGAAGCUAGAGGCCGGUAGAACGAUUGGUGGAGCGGUGGAAUGCGUAGACAUCAAUCGGAAUGCCGAAAGUGAAGACAGCCGGCUGGGGCUUUUCUGACGCUGAAGCACGAAAGCGUGGGGAGCAAACGGG
rnacentral:rRNA from 1 species